rnacentral:rRNA from 1 species
GGGUACUCGAGUGGCGAACGGGUGAGUAACACGUGGGUGAUCUGCCCUGUACUUCGGGAUAAGCUUGGGAAACUGGGUCUAAUACCGGAUAGGACAACUUUUUGGAUAUUGUUGUGGAAAGCUUUUGCGGUAUGGGAUGAGCUCGCGGCCUAUCAGCUUGUUGGUGGGGUAAUGGCCUACCAAGGCGUCGACGGGUAGCCGGCCUGAGAGGGUGUACGGCCACAUUGGGACUGAGAUACGGCCCAGACUCC